rnacentral:rRNA from 1 species
AUUGAACGCUGGCGGCAUGCCUUACACAUGCAAGUCGAACGGCAGCACGGGAGCAAUCCUGGUGGCGAGUGGCGAACGGGUGAGUAAUAUAUCGGAACGUGCCCAGUAAUGGGGGAUAGCCCGGCGAAAGCCGGAUUAAUACCGCAUACGACCUACGGGUGAAAGCAGGGGAUCGCAAGACCUUGCGUUAUUGGAGCGGCCGAUAUCAGAUUAGCUUGUUGGUGGGGUAAAAGCCUACCAAGGCAACGAUCUGUAGCUGGUCUGAGAGGACGACCAGCCACACUGGGACUGAGACACGGCCCAGACUCCUACGGGAGGCAGCAGUGGGGAAUUUUGGACAAUGGGCGCAAGCCUGAUCCAGCCAUGCCGCGUGCGGGAAGAAGGCCUUCGGGUUGUAAACCGCUUUUGUCAGGGAAGAAACGGCUCUUGCUAAUAUCGAGAGCUAAUGACGGUACCUGAAGAAUAAGCACCGACUAACUACGUGCCAGCCGCCGCGGUAACAC